UUUCCGUAGGUGAACCUGCGGAAGGAUCAUUAUUGUACAUACGAGGCGCGCGGGCUGUUAUUGACUCGAUAGGUCGUGCAAGCAUGAGUGUCCUCACAAACAUCCAUCUUAACUCUAUGUGAACCACCGCGUGGGUCCACCCUUGGAUUGCUUGGAGGGGGGCUUACGUUUUUACACAAACCUUGCAUGCAGUGUCGAAUGUCUUUUUUGUUUUUGCGAUCCCGCAAUCAAUUUAAAUUUCAAAAACGGAUCUCUUGGCUCUCGCAUCGAUGAAGAAAG
rnacentral:misc_RNA from 1 species